CAUGGCCGCGAGCGCCCUGGAGGUCUUCGGGCUCCCGGAGGACGAGGAGAAUUCUCGAAUUGUACGGGUGAAAAUUAUAGCUGGCAUAGGACUUGCCAAGAAGGAUAUCUUGGGUUCUAGACUUUGAAUCCAAAAUGGAAUGAAGAAAUAU